rnacentral:rRNA from 1 species
UACCAGCACCCCGAGUGGUCGGGACGAUUAUUGGGCCUAAAGCAUCCGUAGCCGGUUCUGCAGGUCCUCCGUUAAAUCCAGCUGCUCAACAGAUGGGCCGCGGAGGAUACUACAGAGCUAGGAGGCAGGAGAGGCAAGCGGUACUCAGUGGGUAGGGGUAAAAUCCGUUGAUCCAUUGAAGACCACCAGUGGCGAAGGCGGCUUGCCAGAACGCGCUCGACGGUGAGGGAUGAAAGCUGGGGGAGCAAACCGG